UAGGGAAUCUACCACAAUGGGCGAAAGCCUGAUGGAGCAACGCCGCGUGUGUGAUGAAGGGUUUCGGCUCGUAAAACACUGUUGUAAGAGAAGAAUGACAUUGAGAGUAACUGUUCAAUGUGUGACGGUAUCUUACCAGAAAGGAACGGCUAAAUACGUGCCAA
rnacentral:rRNA from 1 species